rnacentral:tRNA from 1 species
GCCUGGGUGGCUCAGUUGGUUGAGCAUCCGACUUCUGCUCAGAUCAUGAUCUCACAGUUUGUGGGUUCAAGCCCCGCGUCAGGCU